GAACUAGAGCAUGUUCCCAACUCUUUCUCAGGGAAUUCACAUUAAAAUGGCAGUUUAAAUUAUCCAUUAAUCAUUCAUUAAUCAUUUACUUACAAAGCACACUGAGGUGUACUAAGAAACUGUUUAACAAGAAACACUGAUUGGUGUGGGAUGUUAAAAAAGACUUAUCUACAGAAAGGACUUUAAGUCUAAAAACUGAAGAAGGGGAAGCUGAAAGGGAAAUGAGACCUCUGGGCAGAGUAAGUUGGCUGUGUGGCUCAUAAGGCUGUUGGUUCUUUCCAGGAACUCAAAGAGGCUGGCUCCAGGUGAGGGGCAGGGUUUGGGGCCUGUUAAAGAAUCUGAGAUUUUAUCCUCAGGAAACCACUGAGGGGUUUUAAGCAAUGGAGGGACAGGACAGGAUCAAUUACACGUGUUCCUGAAAUCAUUCUGCCUGGCUUGGCUACUCCGUGGGGAGUAAAUUAGAGCAGCGAGAACAGUUCAAAGACUAUCGCAGGUGCUGAUAAAUGGUCAGGCUGACUUGGAUUUCAGUGCAUUGGCACUGGAAAGGAACAGGCAGAUUUAAAAAUAUUUUAGGUGGCAAAAUCUAUAGGAAAUGGUGUCUGUGUAUCAACUCUUAAAAAGUGCUGGAUUACCAAAUAACAGAUCAACAGCAAAAAAAGGGCCCAAAGGAUUUGUUGUUCACUUUUAAAGGAUCAUAAUAGUUACUGUGGGAAAAUCAGAAUUAAAAAAAAAAAAGACUUACAUUAGUUAUGAUAUGCUUUCAUUUGCUUUUUUAAAAUUUUCAGAAUGCAGUAAAGCACAUUUCGAUGCUGAGCACUUCUGUAAGUAUUGAUGUACCCAACACUCAGGUUCCCAACAUAAGCAAAUUGGAGUGGGGUGGCACAAUUUAUGGAUAUGGGGAACUCUGAGGAAGGAGGCUUGGGUUAGAUAGAUGGGGUACAGUGAGUUCAGCUUUGAGCACACUAAGAUAUCCAAGUGGAGGUGUUGAGCUGAGCAGGCAAUUGGUAGGCAGAAGCCCCAUAUGGAGGCACAUAUUUGGUGAAUUCCUGGGUUUAUGUGGUGAUAACAACCUUGGGGACAGGUAAACUAGAAUGGGAAGGAAAAAGAGGCUAUUAUAAGUAGCAUAGAAUUUAAAAUUUAAUGGCUCAGCAAAAGAUGGUUAAACUGAAAAGGAGAUUAAACUGACCAUAAAGGAAGAACCUAUAGAAAAGUGUAUCAACAAGAAGGGCAUGGCCAAUUGGGUUACAUAAUAUGGACAAAUAGGGUAAAAGCCAAAUGGCUACUUAAUUGAGCAAUGUGGUGAUCAUUAGUGUUGUUGAAAAGAGCUGUUUGGUAGGAUGAUGUGAAUAGUUGCAGAAUGGGAGAAACUGAGGGAGACAUCAGGGUGAUAGCUUUGGAUAGGAUAUAGAGAUGGAUUCAGUGGGAAGAGGAGAUAGUAGUCAGGGAAGUUAGGUGGAUGGAGGGCUUUUGUGAAACUUGGAGAAACUUGAGAAUACUUAGGACUCAAAUGGAAUAGAUGGAGAGAGUGUGCAGAGUCAGGAGAGUGUGAGAAUGAUCAAUAACAUAAAGCAGGAGGAGAUAACAUCCAGACCCCAUGUGGAGGAGCUGCCUUAGUUAGGAGACAACAUUUCUAGCAUACAGGAAGUGAGGGAGAAAGACCCCAUUUCACAAUAUAAUUUUGAUGUAUAUGAUACAUUUAUAUAUGUAGAUAGAUGACAUCUAUAUAUUGUUAAUAUAUAUGAUCUAGAGUUAUGUCAUAUACAUCAUACUUAUAGCUAUGAUAUAGUUCUAGAUCAUAUAUGAUACAAUAUAUGGUGAUACUAUUGUCCAGCUCAGAAGGCUUUUGGGAGAUAUUAGAUAAUGCAUGUGAAACAGCUUGGAGCCUGGAAUAUAAUAGCACUCAAUCAUGUUAGCUAUUAUUAAUGAGGCAGAGUUGACUGUGCCAACUGUGCUCAUCAGCAAAAUUUAGGCUGUGCCUCAGUACAAACACCCAAAUCUCAGUGGCCUAACACAAACAAAGAAGUUUCUUUCUUAUACAUGCUACACGUUCAGUGUGGGUCAAUGGGGAGAUCUGCUCCUUCUGGUUACACAGGGACCCAGGCUACUGAUGGAGGGUGAGUUACCUUGUAGCUACAUCAUAUGCAACUUGUGAUCUCUUUGGAUGCUGUAGCAGGGCCAGAGAGAUGGAGCAGGAAAUUAAAUGCUUGAGGCCAGAAGUGACAUGUUUCUCCUUCUUAUAACCCAUUGACCAGAUCCAGUGUUAUGUGCCUGUAUGUUCUAUCAGGGGGCUGAGGAAUGUGGGAGAGCCCUUGAACAUUUAGUGAGCAGUAAAUACCUCUGCUGCAAUCACUGCAGUCAGAUGGCUUCAGCUCAUGGAGUUUCCUCCCUCAUGUUGGAGAAGGCAGGGUGUUCCACAGUUUAUGACUCUCAGCAGCAGUCAUGUGCUCUUUUGAUGUCCUCUGCAUACGGGGCCAAACACUCAGAUACUCCUUAGGAAAUCGUGUUGAUACACAAAAGUCAUCACACAUCUGAAAACAUGUACAAGACUUAGCAAUUUCCUCUAUUAAUUCUAGUUGUUAUUCAUUUCUGGAGCAUUUUGUGUCAACUAAAAAUAGAGGCAUUUAUGAACAGGAAGACAUUUGAUAGAUUAUGCUUCCUAGCUGAAUUCAUUUCUUUUUUUGACAGCAUUCAUCAAAACUUCCAAGGUCUGCGUUCUGAGCUGCAUUACAGUGCAGCUGCCAUCACAGUUUAUUUCUCUCUUUGGAACCAGAUAAACCGAUGUGUCUCCACUUUGCAACCUCCGUUAUGAAAUUUCCACAAGCAUCCAAAAUUUCAAAACAUAUUCUAAUCGGUUUUUUGAUUUCUGAAUUUUUUCAUGCAGCACUGAGGACUCACGAGUCCAAAUCUUGGCCAAAGUUUAUUUAUGAAAAACACAAAGGUAGGUAGGGUGUACUAUGCUACUACCCCACCGAAAAAAAUUUGCAUUUUUGUUUCUUUCAUAAUUAGUUGGUAUUUAAAAAUCCUUAAUUUGUACACUGAUCAUCUAGAGAUCUUGUUAAGAUUUUGAUUCUACAGAUCUAGAGUAAUCUGAAUUUUAAAAAAAUUCCCAGCUGCUGCUGUUGCUGCUGAUUAUAGAUCACACUUUGGGUAGUGUGUUAAUCAGCAUUUUAUCACUGGGAUCAACAUAUCUGACAAUAACUACUUAGAGGAGAAAAGGUUUAUUCUGGGCUCAUGGUUUCAGAGGUUCAGUUUAUAGUCUGCCAACUCCAUUGCCCUGAGCCCGAGAUGAAGCAUAAGAUCUUUCUAGAAGAGCAUGGCAGAGGAAAGUGGUUCAACUCAGACAGAAUAGGGAGCACAAGGAGCCAGGAACGACCCACUUUCUCCAGCUACACCUACCUGUCUACAGUUACCACCCAGUUAGUUCAUUCAAAUUAUUAAUCCAUAAAAUCUGAUUUAUCUACUGUCUCGGUUAUAGCUCUCCUAAUCUAAUCAUUUCACCCCAAACAUUUCUGCAUUAACACGGGAGCUUCUGGUAGAUACCUCAUAUCCAAACGAUAGUAGGUAACAAGAACUUAAACUAUGGAAAGGUAUCAAAACUAGUCUAUAGAAGCCAGAAAGGAAAAGACUGAUAUAUGUGAUUGUAGGUUCUCCCUUUAUGGUCAGUUUCCUUUUUAAUGGACAAAGAGGCUAGUAUUAAGAAUAUGUAUAGGACACCAAUAAAUCAAUAAGGAAAAGGCAAAAGAUGAGAAAAAAAAGGGCAAAGGAGGGGCUGGGGUUGUGGCUCAGUGGCAGAGUGCUUGCCUUGCACAUGUGAGGCACUGGGUUCAAUCCUCAGCACCACAUAAAAAUAAAUAAAAAUUAACAAAAAUAAAGAUUAAAAAUGGGCAAAAGAUAUUGCAUUAAUAGAGGUAAAAAUCCAAAUGGCCAAUAUAUUUACCAAAAGCUAUUCAACCCUACUGGAUAUAAGCGAAAUGUAAAAUAAGUAAUAAUUAGAUAACAUGUUAUACUUGUAAGAUUGGCAUUAAAUGUAAUAAUAUCAAUAACUUUAGUUUUGAGUGUUUAUGCAGGAUAUAUUUUCACAGGAAGACUACUGCAAUCACAUUAGAAAUUAAUUUGCUAAUACUAAUCAAAUUGAAAAGGUAACCUGUGCCAAAGAGGCAUAUAUGAGGAUUCUCAUUAUAGCAGUAACCUAGGAAAAAAAUGGGUAUGAUUUGCAUCAGUUUCCUCCAAAAGAGGGAAAUGUGUUAAAGGUUUGUUUGCUAAUCUACCACAAUAAUGGGAGAUGGUGGAAUCUUUAGUAGGUAGGGCCUACUGAAGGAAGUUAGGUCAUUGGGGGCAUGUUCUUGUAGUAGAUAUUGAGACCAUGGUCUCUUCUCAUUUCCUUUGCUUCCUGUCUGCCAUGAGGUGAGAAGUUUCCUCUGUCACACCUCCUUCCACAAUGUACUGCCUUACCUCAAGCCCAAAAGCAGUGGGGCCAACCAACUGAAUCUAUGAAAUUUUGAGUCAAAAUAAAACUUUCCUCCCUAUAAGUUGCUUAUUUCAGAUAUUUUUGUCACAGUAAUGGAAAGCUGACUAACAUUUAACCUAAAUGUCCAUCAGUAAAGGAGUGGACACACUGUUUAUUUAUAUAGCAGGAUAUUAUGUAGCAGUUAAAACUAACGAACCAGUUCUACAUGUAUGAAAGUGAAGAAUUCAUGAAAACAUAAUUUUGAGAGAAAAAUAAAAUCACAAAAUGAUGUAUAUUGUAUUAUGCUAUUUUAUUAAAAAUUAAACUCAGAAAUACCUUCCAGUAGCUACUGUGUUCAUUCAAAAUGAAAACCAAAGUCUGAAAGCCAAAGUCCCAACCAUAGCCACAUGACUGCCUUAUAUGGCUCUCUACCUCACUGAGCUUAUCUCCCACUCCAAAUCUGAACAGCAAGGAAUAAUUAAAUUACUUUACAAACGUUAGUGAUUUGUAAGUGAUUCUGUUAGUGAAUAUUGAACCAGGAUUUAAACCUAGUUUUAUUCCACACUGGACUCCCUCCGUUACACCAUGCUCUAAUAAGAUGGUGAUUUUUUGCUCUAAUAUGAGCAUUACUUUUUGCUAGACAUAACUCAUGUAUCCAAAUGGGACGAGUCCCUUUCUUUGGGAGGUCACCUAGCCUAGCAUUGCUGCAAUUGCUGAGAAAAUUCUUGGACUCUUUUUUUGGAAGAGACACCAAAGCAUGGGAUAUGUUUUGGUUAAAAAGCUAUGGAAAUGGAAAAUCCUUAAUCUUCGCAUAUAAGAAAGAUUUUUAGAAAACAAUUUUCUUUUGAUUAGAUUUUAGGAAGCCAAGUUAUUUUGAAGAAAAUUUGAAGCAUAAAUUGAUGAAAAUUUAAAAUAUUGUCAAGAACAAAAAUAAGUUGCAAAUACAGGAUGACUACCAAGAAGUAGAUCUGAUGAUCUUGGAUGGCUCAUAAAUUAAAUCAGGAUGCAGUUCCAAAAGAAGAAUUUUCCAGUAACUGUGACCAUAGUUGUAUGAUGAGACAAUGUCCUGGAUAGCUACUUUGAAGGGCCGUGUAGUGUGGUGAUUAUAGCUUAGAUUAAUCUCUCUUAUUAUGCGCUAGCUAUUUCCUAAGCGUUCUAUGUAUUAACUGUUUAUAUAUUACAGGAGAGAAAACCAAGGUAUACAGAGAUUAUGUUACCCAUGGUCUCUCAGCUAAAAUACAGUAGGGCUGAGGUUUGAACACAGGCAAACUGGUUCUAGAAUCUAUGCUUUUAAAAACUACACUACUGUCUCUUGAAACAGCACUGAGCAGUACCCUUCAAAUUUUUUAGAUUAUACAUCUUCAUUUCUCAUAAACCCAAAGUCAGAAGACAUAAGAGCCCAUUAUGUAGCCAUGCAAAUCAGCUUUCCUGGGUUGAUAUUUGGCACUUAAGAGUAUCAGCUGGUGCACAGACUCAGUGUGGGGGGAGACUGAGGAAUGAGGCUCAGAUGAGAGGGCAGAGAUCAAAAGAUACUACCCAGCCAAAGCAGUAAUGUGUAUUUACAUAUUUAUAUAUAUAUAUAUAUAUAUAUAUAUAUAUAUAUAUACUACUGUUAAUAUGUUGUAUGCAUUGUAAAACAUUCAUAAAACAAUAGAAGAUUUAAAAUGGUAAGAUUAAAAAAAUAACUAAAAGUUCCAUUAUUUGUUUUCCUUCACUGAGAUGGAUUGUCUUUAACAUCCCAUGAGGGACACACAUCCCAGACUAGGCUUGGGAUAGCAAGGCUUUGAAUCCAGGCAUUACCCUGGUACUCUGGGCAGUUUCUUGCUCUCUGCUUCUGACUCUUCAUCUGUUGAAUCAGGAUACUAACUUCUAAUUUGCUGAAUUAUAUAGUUUAAAUGAGAUGCUGUGAACAAAACUAUAGUUCCUGUCUUUUGGCAAGCUCUUUACAUAUUACUUUGCCUCAUAGUUUUGAUUCCCCUUAUUUGUGUUUCAUGGUCUGUGUUUUUAAAGUUUCUUUACUUUGUACACACUCCUGUAAUUAAGUUGGAAGCAGCCUUGCAGUUAGGCUUGGUGCAUCUAGAUGGAGCCAGAUUAAUAGCUUUUUCAUGCUGCAUCAUUCUAAACAUGGCGCAGCUGUUUCUCUUUCACAGCAAAGAAAACUGGGCAGGAGACAUCUGGAAGAACCUGUGUGCAUUUUACUUUGUGUAAAGCACUAUAGGAAUUGGGAGGGAGAGAGGGAGGACUUAAUGACUAUCAGACACUUAAAAAUGAAUGGCCCAACUGUUCAGCAAUUGUGUCUGUGAACAGAGGUUCCCUUUUACAUCAGCUGUUUGUCAUUGCCCUUUGUGACUGGGAAUCAGGCUUGAAAACUCUCUCAGUGUAUUCUGAGCCAUUUUUAUCUCAGCCGUUCUAUGGGUCACUUUUUCCUAACAGGGUCGCUUGGAUACAUUCAGCCCAUUUACCAUUACCAUUCACUGAAAAUUUCACCUUUGAUCCCAACUCUGAACUUUUGUUCCCUCCUUAUCCUCCUCUUAAAAUGCUAAGUCUGUUGGGUUUCCAUGGCAUAAAGUUAACUAGAAAAGGAAUGUACUUGAAGGACCAUCAACAACUAGGUUUCCAACUAACAGAUGACACCCUCUUGUUAGGAUAAUUUUAGAAUUUAAAAGGAACCAGUUUAUAGGAGUUUAUUGGAUUAGACAAAGGGGGAUGAAGGGAAGGGAACGGGGAUAGAAAUAGGAAAGACAGUGGAAUGAAUCGGACAUAACUUUCCUAUGUUCACAUAUAAAUGCACAACCAGUGUAACUCCCCAUCAUAUACAACCAUAAGAAUGGGAAGUUAUAUUCCAUGUAUGUGUGAUAUGUCAAAAUACACUCUACUGUCAUGUGUAGCUAAAAAGAACAAAUUAAAAAAAUUUUAAAAAGGAACCAAUUUUAAAGGUGUUGGCACAAACCCAAGACAUAGUGCUAAUAUCAAUGUUGGACACACCCAAGGCUAACAGCAGUGAAGGUGUUACUAUCCUUUGGCCCAAAGACAUAAAGGGAUAGAGAGUUUAUUAGAACUUGGAAAGAGAAGGAGUUGUGUAGAACAGGUCACCUUGAAAGGAAAAGUAAAUUUCUAUUGAAGAGCAAGCCAACCCAUGAUAUCCAGAUAAGGAGAGAACAAUGAGAAUAAACAAUCUUCACUUGACCUUUCCCCAUUUUCCUGCUGGGAUUCCAAUAGUCAAAUCCAACCAAAAGCUGGAAGAAUAAGAGAGCUCAUUGAUGUAGCCCACACAAAUUAACUUUCAGAGGUAGAUAUCUAAUAUGUGGGGCAAUCAACUGUGGCAGAACCAGUGCAAAGGCUGGGGAUGAUAGGGGAAGGAGGCUCAGUAAUAGCAAAGACAGAGAUCAAGAAAGGCCACUCAGCAGGAGUAAUCUAGCUCAGACAUCACUUCUGGAUGUAGCUGCUGCUUUCACCAUAUUUCUAAUUUCAUUGAUUGUCCCUUCACCAUUUGGUCACAUUCUCAAGAACAAAGUCCUGAGUGGGAACAUUCAAGUGCCUGGUAGAGGCAAUAUUGCCUGUCUUUGGCUUUCCUGGUGGGAACUGGGAAACUGCCUUUUGAAACUCACACAAUUAGAGAUUUCUAGGUAUUAAAAAAAAGUUCAGAAACAAGGCUGUGUCCUUUCUAAAAACAGACAAGUCUCUACUAACAAAUGACCUCCUUAGUCUUUGUUUUUAUUAAUCUGCAACAGUAAGACUAUCAAACAAGAGUACUGACUUUUUAAAAAUUUCUAGUUCCCUCCCUGUCCUCUCUCUCUCUCUCUCAUUCCUUUCCCUCCUCCAUUUCCUGAUCUCAGGAAGGCCUCUUUAUCUCUCUAGAUCUUUAUGCAAGAGAGCAAGAUCAUGAUACCCAAAUUUAGUUAGGAGUUCAAAUGCUGGGCAGUCAAAAAUAUAUACAGGUCCAUCUAGUAGAAUUCUCUAGUCAAUAUUUUCUUGGUAGAAUGCUUAAAACCUUUUGGGCUAUGGAUGUGUAAAAGUCACUGAACAUGCAUUUCUGCUAAUACAGUAUUGGAGUUUUUCAGCUGCUAUCUUUAUAGGAAACAUUUAUAUGAUAGUUAUGUCCUUAAAAUGAAAUGCAACAUUUAUUAACUGAGUAAUAAACAUGACAGACAUAAGAGGCUGCCACCCUAUAUGGCUUCUGGUGUGUCUUCAUAGGGACAUCAACAUUCCUACCCACUGAGAAGUCUGUCCACAUUUUCCGCAAAAACCUUCUUGUCUCCAGUCUUUAAUCUUGUUCUUCCCAUAUGCCUAAUUAUCUGGCCAAAUCAUGAACCACUGCUUAUGAAGUGGUAUGAUCCAUGCCUCGUAUCAUCUCUCCUUUCAGGUAAAAUGCAGUGAGGCACACUGCUUGGACUUGUGCUCACUGGGAACAUUACCUUAUUCACUCCUUGGAUUCAAGAUGGCUGCUCCUCAAUCUACAAUGAUUCAUGAAUUAUUGGACCAAUAUAAAAUUACAUUUCUCAUCUUUGAUCAAACAUUGUUAUACUCUAUUCCCAUAUACACUUCUCAGAGUUUUACCAAUAAAAACUAGAAAUUCGG
rnacentral:lncRNA from 1 species